GCGAGGUUGGCUCAGUUGGCAGAGCGUAGGUCUCAUAAUCCUAAGGUCGUGAGUUCGAUCCUCACAUCUCGCA
rnacentral:tRNA from 1 species